GAUGAACGCUGGCGGCGUGCCUAAUACAUGCAAGUCGAGCGAACAGAUAAGGAGCUUGCUCCUUUGACGUUAGCGGCGGACGGGUGAGUAACACGUGGAUAACCUACCUAUAAGACUGGGAUAACUUCGGGAAACCGGAGCUAAUACCGGAUAACAUAUUGAACCGCAUGGUUCAAUAGUGAAAGGCGGCUUUGCUGUCACUUAUAGAUGGAUCCGCGCCGUAUUAGCUAGUUGGUAAGGUAACGGCUUACCAAGGCAACGAUACGUAGCCGACCUGAGAGGGUGAGCAGCCAAACUGGAACUGAGACACGGUCCAGACUCCUACGGGAGGCAGCAGUAGGGAAUCUUCCGCCAUGGGCGAAAGCCUGACGGAACAACGCCGCGUGAGUGAUGAAGGUCUUCGGAUCGUAAAACUCUGUUAUCAGGGAAGAACAAAUGUGUAAGUAACUAUGCACAUCUUGACGGUACCUGAUCAGAAAGCCACGGCUAACUACGUG
rnacentral:rRNA from 1 species